CAGCCCCUGGGUCUGAGCAGUUACCAGCCAGUCGCCUGAGAACUUUCCGCUCCAGCACCAGGAAAGAUGAGAUUUUUGCUCCUUUUAAGUUUCGCGGCAGCAGCUUUAGAAGGUGUCCGGUCCCAGGUCCAGCUGGAGGAGUCCGGAGGGGGUGUGAAAAGGCUCGGAGAGUCUCUCCAUAUCACCUGCAUAACCUCCGGGUUCCCCUUCAGCGAUUCCUACCUGAGCUGGCUCCGACAGGCUCCCAGAAAGGGACUAGAAUGGGUCGGUGAUAUAAACCCCGAUGGGAGCGAUAUACGCUACCUUGAUUCCGUGAAAGGCCGAUUCACCAUCUCCAGGAAUAAUUCCAAGAGUGAGCUGUAUCUGCAAAUGUCCGGCCUGAAACCUGAGGAUGCCGCCAUCUAUUACUGUGCAACAGACACAGUCAAACUCCCUUCUCCCGGCAGCCAUGCAGGGGCAGCAGUGACAAUCACCCCCCUUCGGGCUUAGACAGGAGACCCGGCAACUGGGUGAAUGUAACACAAACCUACCGUUUGUGUUACAUUCACCCUGCUGUUACUCACACCUUCUUGUCACCUGUUUGAAAUGGGCCAUCCUGAUUAUCACUGCAAGUUUUCUUUUCUCCUACUGAUAAUAGCUCAGUUUAAUUGCAUUGUCUCGUUAGAGUUGGUAAGGCAACCCCCAUCUUUUCAUGUUCUCUGCAUAUAUAUCUCUCCCUACUGUAUU